AGUGAACGCUGGCGGUAGGCCUAACACAUGCAAGUCGAACGGCAGCACAGUAAGAGCUUGCUCUUACGGGUGGCGAGUGGCGGACGGGUGAGGAAUACAUCGGAAUCUACUUUUUCGUGGGGGAUAACGUAGGGAAACUUACGCUAAUGCCGCAUACGACCUACGGGUGAAAGCAGGGGAUCUUCGGACCUUGCGCGAUUGAAUGAGCCGAUGUCGGAUUAGCUAGUUGGCGGGGUGAAGGCCCACCAAGGCGACGAUCCGUAGCUGGUCUGAGAGGAUGAUCAGCCACACUGGAACUGAGACACGGUCCAGACUCCUACGGGAGGCAGCAGUGGGGAAUAUUGGACAAUGGGCGCAAGCCUGAUCCAGCCAUACCGCGUGGGUGAAGAAGGCCUUCGGGUUGUAAAGCCCUUUUGUUGGGAAAGAAAAGCAGCAGGUUAAUACCCCGCUGUUCUGACGGUACCCAAAGAAUAAGCACCGGCUAACUUCGUG
rnacentral:rRNA from 1 species